CCAUGCGAGUCGAGAGGUGUAAGACCUCGGCAUACUGCUCAGUAACACGUGGUUAACCUGCCCUAAGGUGGAGAAUACUCCCGGGAAACUGGGGUUAAUGCUCCAUAGUGGAUAUGUCCUGGAAUGGUAUAUCCUCGAAAGAUCCGUCGCCUUAGGAUGGGACUGCGUCCGAUUAGGUUGUUGGCGGGGUAACGGCCCACCAAGCCAUUGAUCGGUACGGGUUGUGGGAGCAAGAUCCCGGAGAUGGAUUCUGAGACAUGAAUCCAGGCCCUACGGGGCGCAGCAGGCGCGCAAACUUUACAAUGCGAGCAAUCGCGAUAAGGAAACCCUGAGUGCCUGUCGAUGCAGGCUGUUCAUAUAUCUAAAUCAUAUGUGAAGAAAGGGCAGGGCAAGACCGGUGCCAGCCGCCGCGGUAAUACCGGCUGCUCGAGUGAUGGCCACUAUUACUGGGUUUAAAGCGUCCGUAGCUUGACUGUUAGGUCCCUUGGGAAAUCUUCGCGCUUAACGUGAAGGCGUCUAAGAGAUACCGGCAGUCUUGGGACUGGGAGAGGUAAACCGUACUUCGGGGGUAGGAGUGAAAUCUUGUAAUCCUCGAGGGACGACCUAUGGCGAAGGCAGUUUACCAGAACAGCUUCGACAGUGAGGGACGAAAGCUGGGGGAGCAAACGGGAUUAGAUACCCCGGUAGUCCCAGCCGUAAACAAUGUGCGUUAGGUGUGUCGGUAACCACGCGUUACUGAUGCGCCGAAGAGAAAUCGUGAAACGCACCACCUGGGAAGUA
rnacentral:rRNA from 1 species